UACGGGGGGGGCAAGCGUUGUUCGGAAUUACUGGGCGUAAAGGGCUCGUAGGCGGCCAACUAAGUCAUACGUGAAAUCCCUCAGCUUAACUGGGGAACUGCGUCUGAUACUGGUUGGCUUGAGUGCAGGAGAGGAACGCGGAAUUCCAGGUGUAGCGGUGAAAUGCGUAGAUAUCUGGAGGAACACCGGUGGCGAAGGCGGCGUUCUGGACUGCAACUGACGCUGAGGAGCGAAAGCCAGGGGAGCAAACGGG
rnacentral:rRNA from 1 species